AACAGAGUUCCUAUAGCUUUUUCACUCAUUUUUUCUCUAUUUUUUCAUUUAGUUUGAAAAGCCCCGUUGUAGCUCAAAUCAAAAGAGACUCUACUGGGAUCCAGAUCUGGGAGAUGAUUGACUCACAGCUGAGUGGUGCUACUGGUUAAUCCCACCAAGCAGAAGGAUGAAAAUCCAGAAAGCUUGAAUCCUCAGCUUCCUCUCCUUUUGUCUUUAUUCCUCAAAGCCUGGGAAAGAUCGAUAGUCCAGCAACACACACAGCUUGAUGAGACGGCCUAAGAAGCAUCUUUCAGGAAACUUUACGGUGGAGCUGGCUCAGUGCCAUCUGUAAUUUCAGGAGCCGACAGAGAUGGCUCAUGGAGGUGGUCAAGCCAGUUAAGAAGU
rnacentral:lncRNA from 1 species